CGUGCCUAACACAUGCAAGUCGAACGGAGAUUUGACGCUGCAGAGACUUCGGUCAAAGCUUGUUAAAUCUUAGUGGCGGACGGGUGAGUAACGCGUGGGCAACCUGCCUCGUACUGGGGGAUAACAGUUGGAAACGACUGUUAAUACCGCAUAAGCGCACGGUACCGCAUGGUACAGUGUGAAAAACUCCGGUGGUACGAGAUGGGCCCGCGUCAGAUUAGCCAGUUGGUGGGGUAACGGCCUACCAAAGCAACGAUCUGUAGCCGGACUGAGAGGUCGGACGGCCACAUUGGGACUGAGACACGGCCCAAACUCCUACGGGAGGCAGCAGUGGGGGAUAUUGCACAAUGGGCGAAAGCCUGAUGCAGCGACGCCCGCGUGAGUGAAGAAGUAUUUCGGUAUGUAAAGCUCUAUCAGCAGGGAAGAAAGACCCUUCGGGGAGAUGACGGUACCUGACUAAGAAGCCCCGGCUAACUACGUGCCAGCAGCCGC
rnacentral:rRNA from 1 species